UGCCGACUUAGAUGAGUACCGGUUUACCCUUUGGAGCAAAAAAAUGUUCUUCAGCGCUUCUGAGGUGGUCAACAUAGUUAACCGUAUCUCAUCGGAUCCUUGUCUUAGAGAAAAAAGGUUUUAUCCAGUUGUGCAAGACGGACGGUGCGGCCUACCUCCAGGGCAAGAGUGAAACGCUUAACAAAACAUCGCACCCAGACAGUUCCUGAAGAGAACAAUUUAAGAUUUUGAAAUCAUGUAACGUCGCAUGUAUUGAAUAAAAAGCCGAUAUUCUUCAUUCUUU